UACACUGGUAUUCAAACGUUAUGGGGACCAAAUAUACCUACCAGCAUGCUAAUACUAGUAAAUUAAGUGUUUUGAAAAUCUAAAAAUGCAUGGGCAAGGGGACAGUUUGUACAGUUAAAAAAUAAAUAAAUAAAUAAGCCUAUGGAAUGUUCCCAUAAUGAUUGGAAUAUCAGCAUGUGUGUUCAUUAAUUCAAUCAAUUAAUGGUCAAUUUUAAUCUAAGUCCAUAAAUAGUACUAUUUAAAAGUUUGAGGUCAGUAAUAGAUAGCAGCACAACAGUACUGGAGCAAUGGCUGCUGAAAAUUUUAUUUUUGAUCAAAUAAAUCUCUUCGUAAGCAUAAGAGACCUCGGUCAGAAACAUAAAAAAAUCCUAUUGACCUCAAACCUUUAAACGCUAUAUAAACAGUCUAGUCAUGUCUAAAAGUGUCUUUCUCUGUCUCUCAUAGAUGGCUGCUCACGGGUGUUAGUCCGUAACAUCAGUAAGGUUACAUUAGGAACAUCAGGUCAAUCUGCUGCUGUCCAGAAUCCGGUGGUUUGUCUUCGUCUGGCAUCUCAGCUGAGACCUGUCCACUAUGGGUGAUCCUUCCAGUAGUUGUGAAGUACCAGUGGUGUAGCUCUCAGCAUCACUGAUGCACACAAGCCCUCACAGCACGUCAAGCUGCAAACCAUGUCAGUGGAAGGGAAGUGUUUGAGUUCAGACCUGAGCUUGUUGACGAUGACGAUGAGGAGGCUGAUGAUACUAAAUAUUCUGAUGAUGAUGACACAGACACACAGAGCCGUUUGUUAACUGAGAAGAUGCGCCAAUAAACGCUGAAAAUUAACGUGAUUUGCGCAUCUUCUCUAUAAACAACGGCUUCUUUGUAGUAACAGCUACUCUAUGUGAAAUCACACACCUGAUGGAAUUAACCGCUGAUUAGA